CCCAGCCCAGUAGCACACGCAAUCGUCCGUCUCCUCCGUCUCCAACGCAAUCCGCCGCCGCUGUCUCCUCCCAUCACCGUCUCGCAUCCCGUCGCUUCCGCCAUCGGCCGAUUGAUGAGUGUUUCCCGUUUCUUCGUGCGCCGUCCCUCCCCGCACUCAAGCACGCGUACACCCAUCUUCCUUGCCUCAGCCCACGAACCCUAGACGCCACGGAGAUGGAGCAUCUCCGCCGCCUCGCCCAGUUCUUGCUCGCCUCAGCUCGCGGGGAUGGAGCAGGACAGCGCCACCCGUCCCCUCGCACCAUGCCCAGGACGGCGGCGCCGUGGACGGCUGGGCGCACGACGGCACGGAGCCCCCCUCCCUUACGGCGCCCCGGCAGAGUGCCCGGAGGCCGCAGAUCCUCCUCUUUGUCGGCGCUUCCGCGGCCACGUCUCCGCUGCCGCCUCCGCGUGCGCGACCCUCAACUACCACGCGGUGGGGAGGGAGGCCUGCGACGACCUUGACGCCUGCUCCGUCGACCACAACUACUGCGUCCGCAAGAAAGGCGCAUGGAUUGGGGAUAUGUACUUCGGUUUGGGUUUAAAGGGGCAAUCUUUGAGCAUUUGUAUCAACUAUCAAGGAUCUCAAGUUGACAUGGAUCGCCCUAUGAUCAAGUGCAUUAUGGUGCUAUGAUGAUUGUGACAGAAGAUGUUAGCUGCAGAAGCAAUCGCUAUGUCUCAGCUCCAAUAUUAAAAAUCAGUGCACCUGAAUUAGGACACACUUUUUCUCAUCUGGAACUGCGCUUUAAGGUGUUUGGUCUGAAAGCUACGCUCCUGAAUACAAUGUGAUAUAAAAGGUUCAUGAAAUCACCAGGUAUGGAAAUGCUUGACCAUUUUUGUAAAUUACUUAGUACAAUAUUAUCAGUUUGUUUUUUGCAUUAUUUCCCAGUUCUCUUGCAGUACUAUUCAACAACCUAUCUUCCUGCCUACUACAUAUAAGAGGGUUUUUGUUUACUUAACAUGGUUGCCUGAUUAACAUAGUCAUGGUUUCUGUUAGUUAUUUUUCCACUACCGAAGCAACAAUUAUCUUCCUACCUACCAGAUAUACUACUACUUGAGUUCUUAGUUACCGGCUUAAGAAGCUCCACGAUUCUUUUAUAUGAUAUUAAAAAAAAAUAAGUUCUAACUUUGUGGAAAGACACGCACGGUUCUGAUGUUCCGGGGCCAAUGUCCAUUUCUAGAGGCAAAUACUCUCAGAUUUCUUAGUGAACUAUAAUCCCAUCUAGAUAACCCCCCUCGAUAUAGCUCCCUUUAUUUGCACGACACAAUCUAGCAUAUGACGGUUCUGAUUUGGAUUGUGCGUGUUUCUCCAAAAACUAGGAUUAUAUACCUGAGAACAAACAAGUAACGUUAUAAACUUACCUCAAAGCCUAUGGGUUGACUGAAGCUUGAUAAAUAGUUUCAGAUGCACUAUGGUCUCGUAACAGUAGAAAUAAGCUUCGAGGGAAAGAGAACCACAAGUAUAGGUGACUGCAUAGUAGAAGAUGUGUAAUCGUGUUGCACUAUAGUGUCUUUAUAGAAGCCGACAAAAUCAGAGACAUCCUAAAUUUUGUUUUAUGUUCUUGUCAGUUAAGAAAAGAAACAUUAACUCUUGGAUUAUCAGUAAGGGAAUAUGCCUUAUUAGCACACUCUUAUGGUGGUUAUUAUGAGCCUUCACAAAGGCAAUGUACUUAGAGUCAUCGCAGUGAUGAUCGACAUAUAGAAGGAGAGUUUGACGAGGGAGAUGGCUCAUUAGAAGGAUCCACAACACGUGGACCACAAGUGUAGUGAAGAAGAUGAUAAGGGGGAAUCAUCGGGGAAACCUCAUGGAUGAGCGAGGUGAGGUAGCCUCAGGUAAUGAACGAGGUGGGGAAGCCGCAUGUGGCGACGUGUGGGGUCUACAACAGUAGUACGGGAAGAUAAGCUGGGAUAGGUGGGCGAGGGCAAUAAAUGAGUGAUAAGUGUAUCGGGAAAAUUGAGGGAAGAAAUAUUGUCAAUGCAGGAGGCCGAAGGAGAGGAUGGACUCGGAUAGAAAGGACGAGACUCAAUCAAAAGUCACAUAUCAAGAAAUACCCAUCCGACGACUAACAAGAUCCCAACAUCGAUAGCCCAUUGUGCUUAUCACUGUAAUUUAAGAAGACACAUUCAACAGAUUGAUCAAAUAGUUUGGUGCGUGACGAACGUAGCAAACACAACCAAACAAAUAAAGUGUUGAGUAGUUAGGAGAGAAUGCUCACAAAGACACUCGAGAGGAAUGUCGCCCUGUAGAGCUGAGGAAGGAUGAAUGUUGAUGAGAUAGGUGGCUACGGUCAUCAACGCGCUAGCCGCCUCACGAAGGUGACGAUGCUUGUGCUCAACAACCCCAUUCUAAGCAUGAGCACCAGGACAAGAGAACUGAGCAAGUGUGCUUUGCUCAAGAAGGAAUCUGCGCAACAAAUGAGAGCGAUACACACAAGCAGAAUCUGCACGAAAGACAUGGAUAGUAGCGGAAAACUGGGUAUGAACCAAGGUGGCAAACUUCUUAUAGAUAGAUAAGACCUCACUACAAGAAGACAUAAAAUAUAUCGACUUGUGUCAAGAGAAAUAACUGUAAAGAUAAUAUAGUGGCGAUGGCCUCCUUUCGAGGCGAAGAGAGCUGGGUCCCAAACAUUAGAGUGAAGAAGAUUGAAAGGACACCGAGGCACAGUCUCGCUAUGAGGAUACGGUAACUGAACGUGUUUACCUAGCAGACAAACUUGACAUCUAAAGUUACAUUGCGAGGCCGUGCGAGUCACAACGUCGAGGGCCAACACCAAGUAGAGCACCCAUGUGCAAAUCCUAAAUUAGAACAAGAGCCAAAGUCAAGAAUAUUGGAGUAACAGAAAUAUUGUUUGUGUUAGAUUCAAUGAUACAUCUGCUUGGAUUCCAGGACGGAGUUAAACUUGAGAUUGGGCACUUGGAUUUGUGAUAUUUUGACAUGAGCUUGAAACUCGAACUUUAGGGUGUAGCAUGAUGAACCUGAGAUAUAUUGAAUUUAUAUAGGUAUAGUAUGAUUAGCAUGAAUGCGGUAUUUCUGGACUAUUGGAUCAUCUUGGAUAUUACUAGUUGGAUUCUAGGUUAAAGAUAACUUGAGCAGUUGGAUUUGUAAUAUUUUGACCUAAGCUUGGUAGCUUGUACCAUAUGGUUAUGAGCAUGCAGAUGAUACGAUCGUAGUUGGUAGACCGUGAUGAUUUUGCUAACCCUCCCCAAGAAUGUUACAAGUACAAGAUCAUCAUGGGAGGAUGAUUUGGAUUAAUUAGAAUAGAUGACAAUUUCAGUGGUAUGAGCCUUGUUGGAGCAGCUGAUGUUGCUUUUAUUAUGUUUUUGUGCUUCUUUAGAUGCAGUAGUAGGAGGGUAGGACUUAUGAAGUGAUACUAUAUUGGUGGAUAAAUAGAUCUUUAAUAACCUUGAAACUGGAGGACUUUAGGGUAGGACUUAUGAAGUUUGGAUUUACUUACAUGAUAGUGAUCUUGAAAAAAAUCUGCUGGAUAAAUAACUUCUAAUAUUUUUGGAUCUAUAGUCAUCCAGUGGAAGCUUGCUUCAUACUGGACUUAGAUAACCAUGAUAAUGGGCUUGGUUGAAUCAUAGUUAUGAUUUGUACUAGAUGCACACUUUUAGAGAUUGAAACUAGAGAACUUUAGGGUGUAGUAUGAUCAAUUGGAGAUAUAUUGGAUUUAAUAUGAAUAUAAUAUGAUCAACAUGAUUCUGAAAAUUGAUGGAAGAAAAAAAAGAUAUUUGAGUAAUAGAAAUGUUGUUUGUGUUAGGUUCAAUGAUAUAUCUGCUUGGAUUCUAGUUCUAGGUCGGAGUUAAACUUGAGAUUGGGCACUUGGAUUUGUGAUAUUUUGACAUGAGCUUUAAAAUUGGAGAACUUUAGGGUGUAGCUUGAUCAACCUGAGAUGUAUUGAAUUUAUAUAGGUAUAGUAUGAUUAGCAUGAAUGCGGUAUUGGUGGACUAUUGUAUGAUCUUGGAUAUUACUAGUUGGAUUCUAGGUUGGAGAUAACAUGAGCACCUGGAUUUGUGAUAUUUUGACCUAAGCUUAGUAGCUUGUAUGCGCCCCAUAUGGAUGAGCAUGGAGAGGAUACAAACGGAUUGUAGUUUGUAGACUUCGAUGAUUUGCUAGCUUCCUCAAGAAUGUUACGAGUACAAGAUCAUCAUGGGAGGAUGAUUUGAAAGCAGCUGAUCUUGCUUUUAUUAUGUGUUUGUGCUCCUUUAGAUGCAGUAGGAGAAGGAGGCUAGUAGUUAUGAUGUGAUAUUAUAUUGGUGGAUAAAUACAUCUUUAACAACAUUGGAAUAGUUUGGAUUUACUUAGAUGAUUGUGAUCUUGAAAACAAAUCUGGUGGGCAAAAUAACUUCUAAUAUUUGGAUCUAUAGUAAUCCAGUGGAGGCUGAGGUAGUUGGAGAGGACCGAUGAGAAAGCACAUGAGAAGCUUUACUCGAUCUCCUAAAGACCGACAUUGCCGUAACGGCUUGGCGCAAAGGCCGAUGCGGCUGACAGGGUUUUCACCCUCUCACACACCUCUCGUGCAUUCUUCAUUUCCCGCCAAUUCGGCUUGGUAUCCUUUCCUUGUUUGUGGGUUCCGUGCCACUGACUUGAUUCGACAUCACACGUUCUCCUGCCGUGCGUCUUUGGCCUUGGCGGUAGGUAACGUCGUGCGCUCGGGCUGUGUCUCGUGGGUUAGCCAUUGCGGUGCCAACUGCCUGUGUGGCUAUGGCGGCGCCCAGUAAGAAAACAUGAGAUGUGGGAUUGAGGCAUCGCACAUAGCAACCCGAAGCUAGGCAAAGGAUGCCGGUCAGACUGGCAGGGAGUGGAUUGCACGAGGUAUGGUGGAAGGGAUGGAAACGUUGGUGGGAGCGGAUUGUCAUUGUCGUUAUUCUUUGUACCUGGUGCCAAGCGUCGAGGGGAUGGUGAUUGGGGAUGUGGGAAGAUGGUUGGAUCAUAGUUAUGAUUACUACCUUUAAAGAUUGAAACUGGAGAACAUUAGGGUGUAGUAUGAUCAAUCAGAGAUAUAUUGGAUUUAUAUGAGUGUAAUAAAUUGAUUAACUAUUACAUCAUCUUGGAUUGAAAUAGUAGGAAGAAAACAAAGAUAUUGGAGUAAUAGAAAUGUUGUUUGUGUUAGGCUCAAUGCUAUUUCUGCCUGGAUUUUAGGUUGGAGUUAAACUUGAAAAUUGGCACUUGGAUUUGUGAUAUUUUAACAUGAGCUUGAAACUGGAGAACUUGGUGUAGCAUCAUCAACCUGAGAUGUAUUGGAUUUAUAUAGGUAUAGUAAUGAUCAGCAUGAAUGUGGUAUUGGAUGGACUUGGAUAUUACUAGUUGGAUUCUAGGUUGGAUUUGUGAUAUUUUGACCUAAGCUUAGUAACUUGUAUGUGCCCCAUAUGGAUAUAAGCAUGGAGAUGAUACAAAUGGAUCGUAGUUGGUAAACUCUAAUGAUUUUGCUAGCCCUCCCAAAUAAUGUUACGAGUACAAGAUCUUGGGAGGAUGAUUUGGAUUAGUUAGAAUAAAUGACAAUUUCAGUGAUAUGAGCCUUGUUGGAGCAACUGAUCUUGUUUUUAUUAUGUGUUUGUGUUCCUUUAGAUGUAGUACGAGGAGGAGGGUAGUACUUAUGAAAUGAUAUUAUAUUGGUGGAUAAAAGCCCGAUGCGGCUGACAGGGUUUUCACCCUCUCCCACACCUCAUGUGCAUUGUUCAUUCCCGCCGAUUUGGCUGGGUGUCCUUCCCUUGUUUGCGAGUUCCGUGCUAAUGAUUUGAUCCGACAUCACACGUUCUCCCGCCGUGCGUCCUUGGCCUUGGCGGUAGGUAACGUUGUGCUCUCGGGCUGUGUCUCGUGGGUUAGCCAUUGCGGUGCCGACUGCCUGUGUGGCUAUGGCGGCGCCCAGCAGGGAAACACGAGAUGUGGGAUUGAGGCAUCGCACAUAGUAACCCGAAGCCAGGCAAAGGAUGCCUGUCGGACUGGCAGGGAGCGGAUUGCACCUAAGGUAUGGUGGAAAGGAUGAAAACGUUGGUGGGAGCGAACUGUCAUUUCCGUUAUUCAUUGUACUUGGAGCCAAGCGUCGAGGGAUGAUGAUUGGGGAAGGUGGGAAGAUGGUUGGAUCAUAGUUAUGGUUACUACUAGAUUCACACCGUUUGAGAUUGAAAUUGGAGAACUUUAAUGUGUAGUAUGAUCAAUCGGAGAUAUAUUGGAUUUAUAUGUGUAAUAUGAUCCACAUGAUUGUGAAAAUUGAUGGACUAUUACAUUAUCUUGGAUUGAACUAGUAAGAAGAAAACAAAGAUACUGGAGUAAUAGAAAUGUUAGAUUUAAAUAUUUAAUGAUAUAUGUGCUUGGAUUCUAGGUCGGAGUUAAACUUGAGAUUAGGCACUUGGAUUUGUGAUAUUUUGACAGCUUGAAACUGGCGAACUUUAGGGUGUAGCAUGAUCAACCUGGGAUGUAUUGGAUUUAUAUAGGUAUAGUAUGAUUAGCACGAAUGCAGUAUUGGUGGACUAUUGGAUGAUCUUGGAUAUUACUAGUUGGAUUCUAGAUUGGAGAUGACUUGAGCACUUGGAUUUGUGAUAUUUUGGCCUAAGCUUAGUAGCUUGUAUGUGCUCCAUAUGGAUAUGAGCAUGGAGAUGAAACAAAUGGAUCGUAAUUGGUAGACUUUGCUGAUUUCGCUAGCCCUCCCCAAGAAUGUUACAAGUACAAGAUUAUCAUGGGACGAUGAUUUGGAUUAAUUAGAAUAGAUGACAAUUUCAGUGGUAUGAGCCUUGUUGGAGCACCUGAUCUUGCUUUUAUUAUGUGUUUGUGCUCCUUUAGAUGCAGUAGUGGGAGGAGAGUAGUACUUAUGAAGUGAUAUUAUAUUGGUGGAAAGAUAGAUCUUUAAUAACCUUGGAACAAUUUAGAUUUACUUAGUUGAUUGUGAUCUUGAAACAAAAUCAGAUGGAUAAGUAAAUUCUAUUUUUUUGAUCUAUAGUGAUCCAGUGAAAGCUUGCUUUAUACUGGAUGAAUACCAUGAUAGUGGGCUUGUUUGGAUCGUAGUUAUGAUUUGUACUAGAUGCACAUCUUUAGAGAUUGAAACUAGAGAACUUUAGGGUCUAGUAUGAUCAAUCGGACAUAUAUUGGAUUUAUAUGUGUAAAUAUGAUCAGCAGGGUUGGUAGGUAACGUCGUGCUCUCGGGCUGUGUCUUGUGGGUUAGCCAUUGCGAUGCCGACUGCCUGUGUGGCUAUGGCGGUGCCCAGCAGGGAAACACGAGAUGUGGGAUUGAGGCAUCGCACAUAGUAACCCGAAGCCAGGAAAGGACGCCGGUCGGGCUGGCAGGGAGCAGAUUGCACAUGAGGUAUGGCGAAAGGGAUGAAAACGUUGUUGGGAGCAGAUUGUACUUGGAGCCAAGCGUCGAGGGGAUGGCGAUUGGGUAAGGCGGGGAGAUGGUUUUAUCAUAGUUAUAUUACUACUAGAUGAUUGGAUAGCUUGUAUGUGUCCCAUAUGGACAUAGCAUGAAGAUGAUACAAACGGAUUGUAGUUGGUUGACUUUGAUGAUUGCACAUGAGGUAUGGCGAAAGGGAUGAAAACGUUGUUGGGAGCAGAUUGUACUUGGAGCCAAGCGUCGAGGGGAUGGCGAUUGGGUAAGGCGGGGAGAUGGUUUUAUCUAGUUAUAUUACUACUAGAUGAUUGGAUAGCUUGUAUGUGUCCCAUAUGGACAUAGCAUGAAGAUGAUACAAACGAAUUGUAGUUGAUUGACUUUGAUGAUUUUGCUAGCCCUACCCAAGAAUGUUAUGAGUACAAGAUCAUCUUAGGAGGAUAAUUUGGAUUAAUCAGAAUAGAUGACAAUUUCAGUGGUAUGAGCCUCGUUGGAGAAGCUGACCUUGCUUUUACUAGUAAUAAUGUACGUGCAAUGCACGUUUAUAUUACGUAGGAUAUUAGUUGCACAUUGAUAUUUGGUAAGAUAUCAAUUACUUCUUCACGAGAAUGGUAGGAUAUUAAUUACAUGGCAGAUUUCAUAGGAUAGCGUUGAGUCAAAACAUGUUUAUACCCAAUGGUAGUGGUGGGUAAUUAGAGCGUUAAACGUGUUUGUUGCUCAACAUUGUAGCGAUUUGAACCGCUAGAUAACAUGAUUUGACGGUUGAGAUGGUUUGGAUCUACCCCUUUGAGUCUUUUUAUAUUGGUAUAGAUUAUGUGUUUGUGCUCCUUUAGAUACAAUAGUACUCCCUUCGUCUAGGUGAGUAAGUCAUCUUAGGAUGUGCACCGUGAUCAAGGAGGAGGAGAAAAUGAGAGACCUUAAUGUUUAUUUGCUAAUUAACAGCAUUGCAUGCAAUGAACUAACCACUGCAUGUCGUGUUUGAUAGUCUCAACUCAUUAAAAGCAUGCACACACCUCGUCUCUUAUUGGUUGAUAUGUGAAGAAAUAAGAAACGAGGUAGAAGUUAAUGCACCGCGCCUAAGUGUUUUGGGAUUAUUUGGUUUUUGUAAGAUGACUUACACACCUAGACGAAGGGAGUAGGAGGGUAUCAUUUAUGAAGUGAUUUUAUAUUGGUGAAUAAAUAGGUUUUUAGUAACCUUGGAACAAUUUGUAUUUACUUAUGUGAUUGUGACACAACGAUGGAUAAAAACUUCUAAUUUUUGGAUAACAAUGAAAACUUGCUUUGACUUAGAUAACAAUGAUAGUGGGCUUGGUUGGAUCAUCAAAUAUAUGAAGGAUGAGCGGGGUGCUAGGCACAACCGCCAUGUCCACGUAGGCUAUGAAUAGUGCCGGCAAAGUGAGCGUUGCGUCCCGCGCGAGUAGAGAAGCGAGCAAGAGAAAAAGAAAAAGCGAGCGAGCAGCUAUAGCGAGAGACCUAACCACCUUCUCUCCUGCCGCCGCCGCUACGCCCCCUUCUCCCCUUCUCCAUGCUCGCCGCUGCUGGCACCGCGUUCGCCGCUGCCGGCAUCGCGUUCGCCGCUCCCCUGCCUCGAGCCAAACGUCGCCAUGGAGCCUUUGCUCCCCCGCCUCGAGCCAUCCCAUGCCUCAUCCGCCUCCUCUCCUCCCUCUCCCUCGUCUCCUCUCCCGCACCGCUGCCCCUUCUCUCCUCCCCCACGCAAGCCAGCCCUGGAUCUGGAGGAAGAGGAGAGAUGCGGGAUCUGGAGGAGGAAGAGGAGAUUCGGGCUUCCCGGCGGUGGCUCGACCGAUGCAAGGUGAUGACAAGUUGCCUCCUCUUGCGCGCCCUCUCCCUCGCCGCCCUCUGCCCACCACUCAUCUCCACCUCCCGCUUUCCCUGUUGCUCACAUCCCUCUUAGUCCAUGGCUUCCGGCCCAUCCCCUCGCGGCGGCCACCACUCCUUGUCUCCUCCCAGGUUCUCGAUCUGGAGGGGGAGGGACACACGAGGCUACAAGCGCUGGCAUGAUUGUCCACAGCACCGUCGCCGUCGUCCUCGGCAGUGGGAGGGCGGGCCGCCAAGAAAGCCGGCUCCGUCUUGCUCUCGCGCCACUGUCCAUCCACCCGAGAAGCCCGUCCACACACCUGUCAUUCACGCCCCUCCUCCUCGGCUCGUUCUCAUCUCUGUCAGACAGAUGAGCUCCUGCUUCCUCUCUGUCUCCCUUUUAUUUUGUGCUUGUGCUGUACUGUGUGUUUGUGCAGUUGCUUUGUGAGCUACAGCUACUACUUGUGCUGCUAGAUGUGUGUGCUGGUUCUGGUGCUGCUAGCUGCUGCUGGUUGCUUGUGUUGCUGGUAUGUGUUACACUGCUACUACCAGUUGCUGGUUGCUUCUUUAUUUGGUUAAUUGUGACACUGAAAAGCCUUUGUGAAAAGCAAAAAUUGAUGAGAAGGCUAUGAGCUGAUGAGAUGACCUCCAUUUUCAAUUUUUUAUUUAAUAAUUGAUGAAGGAUAUGCCAUAUAUUCAGUUGCUAACAUUUUCUCUAUGGUGUAUGUGUUAGGAAAGCAACUUGUAUUCCCAUGAGGCCAUAGGCCGAUAUAUAUACAUGUACAAGUGUGGAACAUAUGCAGAAAACCCCUUAUACAACGGGAUUAAUACAAAGGGGUACAUGACUUAUAUUAUAACUCUAACACCCCCCCUCAAACUCAUGGUGGAUGAACAACACUGAGUUUGGAGAGAUAAAAGCCAUGUUGUGUUCUAGUCUGGGCCUUCGUCAGGAAGUCUGCCAACUGUAACUCAGAAGGCACAUACUGAAGAGCUAAUAGCUUGGUCCUGCACACCAGCGCGCACAUAGAACGCAUCAACACCAAUAUGCUUGGUGAGCUCAUGCUUCACAGGAUCGCGCGUAAUGCUAAUAGCACCUGUACUGUCAGAUAAGAGCAGAGUCGGUGUAGUGACAGAAACACCAAAAUCCUGAAGUAACCACCGUAACCAAGUCACCUUUGCCGUCAAAAGAGCCGUUGCUCGCAACUCAGCCUCUGCACUCGAACGGGAAACUGCAAUCUGUUUCUUCGUCUUCUAGGCAAUGAGAGAACCACCAAGAAAAACAUAGUAAGCAGAAAGUGAACGGCGAUCUGAAGGAUCACUAGCCCACGUAGCAUCCGAAUAGGCCUGAAGCUGUAAAGAACUGGAGCGAGGAAAGAAUAGACGGUGAGAGAUUGUGCCCCGAAGAUAUCGGAGAACACAAAGUAGAUGACUAUAGUGGACCGAGGUGGGAGCGGAGACGAACUGACUCAGAAUAUGAACCGGGUAAGAGAUAUCCGGAUGAGUGACAGCUAGAUAGACAAGGCUGCCAACAAGAUGACGAUAACGCGUCGGGUCAGGUAGGGGAUCACCAUCAGUAGGACGGAGGUGAACAUUGAGCUCCAUAGGAGUCUCAACAAUGCACUCGUCAGUAAGAGCAGCACGAGCAAGAAGAUCCUGGAUAUACUUUUCCUGGGAUAUAAAAAAGCCAUCAGAGGUAGAAGAGACUUCAAUCCCAAGAAAGUAGCGAAGAGGUCCAAGAUCAGACAUAAGAAACUGCUCACUAAGACGGGCCUUUACAAAGGCAAUAUACUCGGGGUCAUCCCCAGUGAUGAUCAUGUCAUCAACAUAAAGAAGAAGAAGAGUCCGACCACGAGGAGAAAG